rnacentral:tRNA from 1 species
CAUUAAGUGACUGAAAGUAAGUAAUGGUCUCUUAAAUCAAUUUAUAAUGUUUAACAAACAUUCUUAAUGG